GAUGAACGCUGACAGAAUGCUUAACACAUGCAAGUCAUUUGCGAAGCUGCGCUUGCGCAGUCUAGCCAAGGCGGACGGGUGAGUAACGCGUAAGGAACUUGCCCUGCAGACAGGGAUAACAGACGGAAACGACUGAUAACACCUGGUAUUGUCAGGCUGGCGCAUGCCGGCCUGAUGAAAGGAGACGCUGCAGGAGAGCCUUGCGUCCUAUUAGCUAGUUGGUGGGGUAACGGCCCACCAAGGCGAUGAUAGGUAGCCGGCCUGAGAGGGUGAACGGCCACAAGGGGACUGAGAUACGGCCCUUACUCCUACGGGAGGCAGCAGUGGGGAAUAUUGGACAAUGGGGGCAACCCUGAUCCAGCAAUUCUGUGUGCACGAAGAAGGUUUUCGGAUUGUAAAGUGCUUUCAGCAGGGAAGAAGAAAGUGACGGUACCUGCAGAAGAAGCGACGGCUAAAUACGUG
rnacentral:rRNA from 1 species